rnacentral:rRNA from 1 species
UGGGGAAUAUUGCGCAAUGGGCGAAAGCCUGACGCAGCGACGCCGCGUGAGUGACGACGUUCUUCGGAAUGUAAAACUCUGUCAGUGGGGACGAUUAUGACGGUACCCACAAAGGAAGCCCCGGCUAACUACGUGCCAGCAGCCGCGGUAAUACGUAGGGGGCGAGCGUUAUCCGGAUUUAUUGGGCAUAAAGAGCGUGUAGGCGGCAGUUUAAGUCAAUCGUAAAAUUCUUCGGCUCAACCGAGGCAUGCGAUUGAUACUGGAUUGCUAGAGAUUGGGAGAGGAAAGCGGAACUCACGGUGUAGCGGUGAAAUGCGUAGAUAUCGUGAGGAACACCAGUUGCGAAGGCGGCUUUCUGGACCAAAUCUGACGCUAAAGCGCGAAAGCGUGGGGAGCGAAC